rnacentral:rRNA from 1 species
GUGGGGCAUGGGCGCAGCCUGAUGGAGCACGCCGCGUGAGUGAGGAAGGCUUUCGGGUCGUAAAGCUCUGUUGCCAGGGAAGAAUAAGGAUGAGGUAACUACUCAUUCGAUGACGGUACCUGAGAAGAAAGCCCCGGCU